rnacentral:lncRNA from 13 species
AUAUAUUGUACCCAGAAGGUGCCUGCUCACACAUUGUCUGUACUGUUUUAGCAGUGAAAAAGAAUACCCACAGACAAGGCACGGGUGGUGGGUCACCAAAGGCUGACCUUACCCCAGCAGAGGACAUGGCCUUGGAGCUAAAUAAAGGCAGGCCCGUCUUAGAGGGGAUCCCUGGGGGGAAAGAGACGAGCAUAGGUUCCUCCCAAGAUGCCACCCGCUUCAUUCAAGUGUCUGGCAGCACUGUGUUCCUGUUAGAGCCACCAGCACAAGCACCAGACGAUGCUGAUCCAGGUGAAGGCCCCAGUGCAGCAGCAACAGCACAUGAUGGAGACGAUGAUGAGGAGGAGACCAUCUCUCUGGAUUCCAGAAGGCAUGAGGACCCAGAUGCUAUACAGUGGGAAAACCAGCCUGGCAACAUAAGCUCACAAGCUAUCAGAAAGUUGUAUGGCAACCACCUCCGGUGCCAAAUAGAACUGGCAGACAUAGACAUUCAGUACAAGAAGAAAAAGAUGGAAAAUCUUGCACUGGAGUUCGAAAUAAAAAAGAGGACAAUUAGGAAACUGGACCUUGAAAUAAAAAAACUUGAGAGGGAGGNNNNNNNNNNUCCCCCAGCUCCAAGAAGAUGACACAGCUCAAAAUAAAAAUUAGCAAUCAGUACAACCAAGUCAUCGUUAUAAGGCAUCGCCCUCUUUUGCCCACCCCCCCCAGCACCAGGUGUGGCCACUAGCCUAUAUGAAGGCCCAAAAUUGUGUGUUCCUUUCUGCUCUGACAAUGGCAUGCCCAUUCGUGCGAGAUGUGGUGGAUGAAGAAGCACUUGUGCUGAGGAGAGCCUUCAGGUGAGAAAGGGUCUUCAGGGACCGGUUGGACCCACUGGCCUUCCCUGAUGACCAUCUAUAUGAAAGAUACAGGUUUUCUGCAGAUGGCAUCAGGUAUCUAUGCAGACUACUUUUUCCCAGGAUUAAGCACCGCACUGCACGGAGCCAUGCACUGAGUGUGGAGCAAAUGGUUUGUGUGGCCUUGCGCUUUUUUGCUAGUGGAGCCUUCCUGUACUCAGUGGGGGAUGUAGAACAGCUGAACAAGGCCACAAUUUGCCGCACAAUAAGGAGUGUGUGUCUGGCUAUCAAAGCAUUAGCAGAUGUCUUCAUCUCCUUCCCUGGCCACAGAAGACUCUGUGACAUCAAAGAGGAGUUCUAUAGGAUUGCAGGUAAGAGGAUCUACAAAUUACAGGACAACUGUUAACACAUAGUAGGAUACUCAUUACUUUGUGUGACAGGUUUCCCCAAUGUCAUUGGUGCAGUGGACUGCACACACAUAAGGAUAAAAGCCCCCUCAGGUGCCCAUGAGGCCGAUUUUGUGAAUAGGAAAUCCUUUCACAGCAUUAAUGUUCAGGUGAACAUAACUUUUUGAUAUUGUCCAUUGACGAACACUCUGCAUUGCCAGUGAUGUGCAUUGAUUGGUGUAAUAUUCCUCAUCUUAUGAUUUCAGAUGGUCUGCAAUGCUGACUGUGUGAUCAGCAAUGUUGU